rnacentral:tRNA from 1 species
UCCGAGAUCGUCUAAUGGUAGGACGCCAGGUUCUGGCCCUGGUAAUCCUGGUUCGAGCCCAGGUCUCGGAG